UGUUUGGGAAUGCAGCUCUAAAUGGGUGGUAAGUUUCAUCUAAAGCUAAAUAAUGGCGAGAGACCGACAGCGAACAAGUACCGUGAGGGAAAGAUGAAAAGAACUUUGAAAAGAGAGUUAAAAGUACUUGAAAUUGCUAAGAGGGAAGCGCUAGAAACCAGUGAUACGCUAAGUCAAUCGCCUUCAGCCCCACUAGUUGGUUUAAGUAAUGCGCAAGCUUGCUUGAGCCAACGAAAAGGUGGUUGGAGGUUUAUGAUUUAGUGUCAGUCAAGAUCAAUUCGAUCUGGGGGAGAAGGUAGCGAGAAAGGUAGGAGAGCAAUCUCUGUUAUAUUCUUGUUACUCUACCUCGGGUUGGAUUGAGGAAGUAAUGGUGCGCCGCUUGCGGCUUUGUCCUGCGUCUCUAUUGUCCUAUUCGUUCUCAUAGCAAUGCUAUGUUUGUGGAAAAAGGCAAUACUGGGCGUAGUGAUUCUAUGUGCCAUCACGAUCUUGUACGAAAUGGUUUCUAUCGACCCGUCUUGAAACACGGACC
rnacentral:rRNA from 1 species